rnacentral:rRNA from 1 species
UACGUAGGGUGCAAGCGUUGUCCGGAAUUAUUGGGCGUAAAGAGCUCGUAGGCGGUCUGUCGCGUCGGCUGUGAAAACUCGGGGCUCAACCCCGAGCCUGCAGUCGAUACGGGCAGACUAGAGUGCGGUAGGGGGAGACUGGAAUUCCUGGUGUAGCGGUGAAAUGCGCAGAUAUCAGGAGGAACACCGGUGGCGAAGGCGGGUCUCUGGGCCGUAACUGACGCUGAGGAGCGAAAGCGUGGGGAGCAAACAGG